rnacentral:antisense_RNA from 1 species
CUAUAUGGUGGCCAUGCGUAGGGCUCCUUAGGGGGCGCCGGCUCCGAUGCCCGGUCUACCAACCUCCGUAUGGCCGCCACCCUC